AGGAUGAGGACCUUUAUGAUGAUCCACUUCCACUUACUUUUAUCACCAGAAAGGGACAUAGUGGAGCUGACAGAAAAUAUGGCCAUUACAAAUAGAACAUCUCAUAAAUGAAGAAACCAUGUAUAGUUCCCUUUAACAUUCAGUUUAUCAUGUUAUGCUUCCUUUCACAGUUCUAAAAUUUGUUAUAAAUAGAUAAAAAUUUUAACUAGCAUUAUGUACACUUCACUAAGUAACACAUAUAUUGGCUACAUUACAAACAUCCAAUUGAGAUAGACAUCACUGUAUAUAUCUCACAGCAGCAUAUUUGGUAGCCUUAGACAGAGAGAGGAAAUUCAUGUAUGCUACAGUUUUAUAAAAUAAGUACUCGAUCUGCUUAAAUAUGUUAUUACAUCUUUGGUAAGCAUGUUUUAACAGGUUCUUACCAUAAGGCUGUUGUAGAAAUGUACCGCACAAAUUCUGUAAAAGGUAGAGGAUCUGAUGAUGCUCCACAGCUACGACACACACACUAUAUAGGUAAAAACAUAUGUUUAAUCUAUCAGUCAUAAAACAGAACUAUAAUGUCUAAAAAAUAACUAAGCCAUCUCACCUGUUCAUACAGAGUCAUGGCAAACUUCUGGUGAGUGAUACAAGAUUUAGAGGUACACAUGUCUGCAUCUCUGCUUGGCACUAUGUGAAAAUGAAUCCUCUCCAAUAUAUUUUCCUAAUUUAAAAAUAAAAUAGAUAAAUGAGUUAUUGAUCUUGCAGGGAACACAUCAAAAUAGAACUCUUUACUUGAAGAUUUUCCAAAGUGUAAAUUUAAAAGUGUCAUACAUAUUGCUAGCUUUUCAGCUUUCCUCUCUAAUCAAUACUUUAAUUGAAUGUUCAAUUAUUCACCUUUUAUAGCACUAGCUUAAAUUAAAUGUUGUUUUAUGAAAGAAGCGUUGUAAUAUAAAAUGAUCUUUAAUAAAUUUAUUUUUAAUCCUUCUAAAAAUCAACCCAUGGUGACUGACAUCUAGAAUUUAAUGUUAGAAAAUAGUUUCCUGUGUUCCCAAUAUUCUCAAAUUAAGAAAAAUCAGCUUAAAAAAAAUCCUAUUUGAAUCAUCUAGGCAGUCUGUAUAAAUAACAGCAAAAUAAAGGCUCUAUAUCUACACUAACACCAUAAUGGAGACAAUGUACUCUGCAAUGAAUUUCAUAUAAAUGUUGAUUUACAAUAUAGAUCAAUAAGGGGUAGUUAUUUCUUUAACAGAAUUCUUUUUACCGAAGCUUAACCAAUGAAUUCUAUUAAUUAGCUAACUUCCCUCUCCUCUGCGCCAGGAUAUUUAAAACCAUUUAAUAAUUUAAGCCUAGAUUUCUAGACAUUGUGUGAAUUAUCACAUCAUGUAUUAGAACAAUUCAUUUAAGUGAAAGUAAAACUACAGAGUUUAGCAUUGUUCAAAAUAAAUUUUUUAAGUGAAAAAUCAAUUAUAAACAGAAGAAACAUGGAAAUUAUAUUUCAUUACUGUGUGUGGCAAUAUUCACAUUUUAAUCAACAUGCAAGUGUGCUAGGCCAGGUGCUGGUCAAUGAGCUUUUCAUCUAAGGAAACCAUGAAGAUGCUUCUUUAAAAAAAGGUGAUUAAUAAUAUACAAAUGCCAAAUGAAUUCUACUGAUAGUAAAUUCUAGAGGGAAUGGGUUGGGUGGUUUGGUCAAGCCAAACAUAAGUCUAUGUUAUCUGGUAGGCAUAGACUUAGUUUGAACCUUGACAAAAUGAUAGAUUUUUAAAGUUUUGAGUAUUUCAGGAACUUGAGCAAAAGCUGCUAAUAGAACAGGCUUUCAUAUAAGAAAUAUAAGCAAGAAUAUAAAAAUAAACAUGAGGUACUGAAUGGAAUAAUCUCACUAGGAAAAAAAAUCCAGGGAUGAAGCACCAAGGGAAGGUGGAGUUUAAUCAUAAAGGGCCUUAAAUAUUAGAAUAAAAAGUCUACAUUUGAAUCAUGGAAAUAUUUGAAGAGUAAGCAUUAACCUGAAUAAAAUUAUAUUAACAUGGCGGCUAUUAAAAAAAAUAGGCCACAAAUAAACAGGCUGAAUGCACACCAGUAGUAGGCUUAAAUAUGCUGAACUGGAAGAAGUUGUGGUAGGGAAUGAAUAUGGAAAGAAAAAACUUUUGAAAGGGGUUAUGAUGAAAGAAUUUACAGAAUUUGCUGACUAGAAAUAAGAACAAGAGAGAAGAAAUGGCUACAACUUAAUUAUAGGUGACAUCAAUAUUACUGAGACAUUUAAUAAUUAGCAUACAUAUUUUAUAUGUAUAAAAUAUGUACCUGAUCAAAAGAAUGCUCUACUUACUACUAUGGUGGUAACAGAGCCUCAGAACAUCACCCUCAGUGAUUCUCAACCUGGAAUGUGGGUAACAGAACUGUUGCCCCUGUUAACUUCCCACCAAAUCCCCUUCUCUCUCAAUGAUAAUCAUUGCAUGUAAUGAAAAAUAUUCCUGCUAGGAAUGUGCCACAUAUGUGAACCCUGUAGAGGCAGAACACUGAUUUAAGUGAUAUCAUUUAUAUUCAGCAAAGCUUAUUGCUCCAAUUAAGUUUUAAAAUAUUUUAGUAGCCUAAGAAUAAAAAUUAGAGCAACACAAAUCAUCAAAACCAAAAGUACAACACAAAAGACAGAUGGAUUGAAGUUGAGCUUGAAGGAUGGGUAAGAUACAGAUCUGCUGGCCGGUUCUGACAGUCUUCUAUUGUUCUAAAUUUUUGUUUCAUUUGUUUCAACAUUUGUUCUAUCUAAGGAAUCAAAAUGACUAUUCUGAUUUCUUAAGGAAUAUCAGAAAUACUUACAAAGCAUUCUGCAGCAUCAUCCAUAAGGCCAAGUUGAAAUCGCUGCUCAUCUUUGAAGCUUUCUGCAAGAGCAUGCCUUAUGUUAUCUGAGGGAAGUGCUUUUUCUCGACUGUGUUGGAACUGUGCAAAUAUUGUCUGGGAAUCAACAAGAAAAUCAAUCUUUUUCAGGCAUACAAAAGGUGAAAGAGUUCAUCACCAAUAAACCUGUAUUACAAGAAAAAUCCUUCAAGCCAAAGAAAAGAAUAUCAGAUGGAAUGCGGUCUAUGCAAAAAAGUGAUGAGCACCAGAAAUGGCAACUUGGUAGAUAAGUAUAAGUAAAUAGUCUUCAUGGUAAAGGUCAGUGGAAUGCUCAUUUAAAGAAAAAAAAAUAUAUCACCAUAGGAAUACUUCUCCAUGUUCUAACCCAUUUAAGUUUCCUUACUCAAAAUUGUCACCUGUUCUGUGUUUUGUUUCCCUGAACUAUAGUAUUUUGGGUGCCAAUGAAAAGGACAGAAACAGAGGGGAAAACAAAAGUGAAAAAGAAAAA